rnacentral:rRNA from 1 species
UACGGGGGGGGCAAGCGUUGUUCGGAAUUACUGGGCGUAAAGGGCUCGUAGGCGGCCAACUAAGUCGGAUGUGAAAUCCCCAGGCUUAACCUGGGAACUGCAUCCGAUACUGGAUGGCUUGAAUCCGGGAGAGGGAUGCAGAAUUCCAGGUGUAGCGGUGAAAUUCGUAGAUAUUCGGAAGAACACCAGUGGCGAAGGCGGCUCACUGGCCCGGUACUGACGCUGAGGUGCGAAAGCGUGGGGAGCAAACAGG